UACGUAGGGUGCAAGCGUUAAUCGGAGUUACUGGGCGUAAAGCGUGCGCAGGCGGUUUUGUAAGACUGUCGUGAAAUCCCCGGGCUCAACCUGGGAAUGGCGAUGGUGACUGCAAGGCUAGAGUUUGGCAGAGGGGGGUAGAAUUCCACGUGUAGCAGUGAAAUGCGUAGAUAUGUGGAGGAACACCGAUGGCGAAGGCAGCCCCCUGGGUCAAAACUGACGCUCAUGCACGAAAGCGUGGGGAGCAAACAGG
rnacentral:rRNA from 1 species